rnacentral:rRNA from 1 species
UACGUAGGUGGCAAGCGUUAUCCGGAAUUAUUGGGCGUAAAGCGCGCGCAGGUGGUUUCUUAAGUCUGAUGUGAAAGCCCACGGCUCAACCGGGGAGGGUCAUUGGAAACUGGGAAACUUGAGUGCAGAAGAGGAGAGUGGAAUUCCACGUGUAGCGGUGAAAUGCGUAGAGAUGUGGAGGAACACCAGUGGCGAAGGCGACUCUCUGGUCUGUAACUGACGCUGAGGAGCGAAAGCGUGGGGAGCGAACAGG